ensembl:lncRNA
UUCCCUGGUUUCCUCUAUGUCAUAUCUCCACCAUGCAUUUAGAAUCUCAUGAUACUACAGCAGUGUUUCCCUGGGUUCCUCUGUCAUAUCUCCACCAUGCAUUUAGAAUCUCAUGAUACUACAGCAGCGUUUCCCUGGUUUCCUCUGUCAUAUCUCCACCUUGCAUUUAUAACCUCAUGAUACUACAGCAGCGUUUCCCUGGUUUCCUCUAUGUCAUGUCUCCACCAUGCAUUUAUAAACUCAUGAUACUACAUCAGUGUUUCCCUGGUUUCCUCUGUCAUAUCUCCACCAUGCAUUUAGAAUCUCAUGAUACUACAGCAGCGUUUCCCUGGUUUCCUCUAUGUCAUGUCUCCACCAUGCAUUUAUAAACUCAAGAUACUGCAGCAGUGUUUCCCUGGUUUCGUGUGGUGGGGGUGGGGGCUGUCCUGACUGCUGGAGCUCUUCUAGUCAACAUGUACUGCACUCUGAAGAGGAGAUCCACAGGAGGAAGUGAUGCCACAUCAGACACACAGAGUGUCCAUCCUAAUCCUAACAGUAAGACGUACACAGCUCUGAACAUGAAGACCAGGUCACCAGAGUAUGACACCCUGGCAUUCAUACUGGUGUCUGGAGCUCUACCCCUCUGCCCUAUCAGACGCUCAGAAGUCCAUCCAGCUCGCCCCUGAUUGGCCAAAGGGAUACUUCCUCAAGGAGAGUGCACUGAUGGGGUUAAAGCUGUAUGGUGAGGCAGAAAGGGCCAUGGAUCAGGUGUUAAAGCUGGAUCAGGUCCUCCACUGAGGUCUUCAACUGCAAGGUCCUGCAGAUCAUGAACCUGGGUUUUGAGGAGGGGCAGAGAUUUUUGCAGGACUCCAGUGGUGGAUCUCUCCUCCCCCAGGACUCCAGUGGUGGACCCUCCUCCCUCAUGACUCCAGUGGUGGACCUCUCCUCCCCUCAUGACUCCAGUGGUGGACCUCUCCUCCCCUCAUGACUCCAGUGGUGGACCUCUCCUCCCCUCAGGACUCCAGUGGAGGACCUCUCCUCCCCUCAGGACUCCU